GCCCCGUUAGCUCAGUAGGUAGAGCGCUUCCAUGGUAAGGAAGAGGUCUUCGGUUCGAAUCCGGAACGGGGCUCCA
rnacentral:tRNA from 1 species